CUGCUCCCUCAGCAGCACGAAUGCUAACACCAGAACAAUACAGGGAUUAGCAUGGCCCCUGCCCAAGCAGAACAUGCAUACUUGUGAAAUGCUCCAUAUUUUU
ensembl:snRNA U6 U6 spliceosomal RNA